UGGUGGGUAGUUUGACUGGGGCGGUCUCCUCCCAAAGCGUAACGGAGGAGCACGAAGGUUAGCUAAUCCUGGUCGGACAUCAGGAGGUUAGUGCAAUGGCAUAAGCUAGCUUGACUGCGAGCGUGACGGCGCGAGCAGGUGCGAAAGCAGGUCAUAGUGAUCCGGUGGUUCUGAAUGGAAGGGCCAUCGCUCAACGGAUAAAAGGUACUCCGGGGAUAACAGGCUGAUACCGCCCAAGAGUUCAUAUCGACGGCGGUGUUUGGCACCUCGAUGUCGGCUCAUCACAUCCUGGGGCUGAAGUAGGUCCCAAGGGUAUGGCUGUUCGCCAUUUAAAGUGGUACGCGAGCUGGGUUUAGAACGUCGUGAGACAGUUCGGUCCCUAUCUGCCGUGGGCGCUGGAGAAUUGAGGGGGGCUGCUCCUAGUACGAGAGGACCGGAGUGGACGCAUCACUGGUGUUCGGGUUGUCAUGCCAAUGGCACUGCCCGGUAGCUAAAUGCGGAAGAGAUAAGUGCUGAAAGCAUCUAAGCACGAAACUUGCCCCGAGAUGAG
rnacentral:rRNA from 1 species